rnacentral:misc_RNA from 1 species
ACCGCUUGUCGCUCAGCCUGACCCGUACCAUCGGCUCCAGCCGCUCCCAUGCUCCAUCAACACCGGGGCAACGGGAGCAUGUCGGAUGGCAUUUUUACAAGGUAUCUCAAUGCCUUGGUGAUGGGACAUGGAUCGCUGCGGUAAGAGCGCACCGGGGGACUGGUAACAGGACCCGCAUGGUAAACCCCACCGGGAGCAAAACCAAAUAGGGACGACGCGAGGGCAACCUCAGGCCGGUUUCGAGGCCGGUCGUCCGGGUUGGUUGCUCGAGCUGCGGCGCAAGCCGUCGCCUAGAGGAAUGGCCGUCACGUCCGCGUCGCGAGGCGCGGGCCUUACAGAACCCGGCUUACAGGCCAACUGGCAAU